rnacentral:piRNA from 1 species
UGAGACGAAAUAGUCUGACAAAC